CCUACGGGUGGCAGCAGUGAGGAAUAUUGGUCAAUGGACGAGAGUCUGAACCAGCCAAGUAGCGUGAAGGAUGACUGCCCUAUGGGUUGUAAACUUCUUUUAUAAAGGAAUAAAACGAGGCACGUGUGCCUUUUUGCAUGUACUUUAUGAAUAAGGAUCGGGUAACUCCGUGCCAGCAGCCGCGGUAAUACGGAGGAUCCGAGCGUUAUCCGGAUUUAUUGGGUUUAAAGGGAGCGUAGAUGGGUUGUUAAGUCAGUUGUGAAAGUUUGCGGCUCAACCGUAAAAUUGCAAUUGAUACUGGCAGUCGUGAGUACAGUUGAGGUAGGCGGAAUUCGGGGUGUAGCGGUGAAAUGCUUAGAUAUCACGAAGAACCCCGAUUGCGAAGGCAGCUUACUAAACUGUGACUGACAUUGAUGCUCGAAAGUGUGGGUAUCAAACAGGAUUAGAUACCCUAGUAGUC
rnacentral:rRNA from 1 species